CGCACAUUGCGCCUAAUAGUAUUCUGUUAGGCAUGCCUGUUCGAGCGUCAUUUCAACCUCCAAGCCCUAUUUGCUUGACGUUGGGAGUUUACGGAAACGUAAUUCCUCAAAUAUAGUGGCGGAGCUAGGUCGUGCUCUAAGCGUAGUAACAUCAUUCUCGCUUUUGUAGCCGGUUUAGGUCCUGCCGUAAAACCCCUAUAUUUUUUUUGGUUGACCUCGGAUCAGGUAGGAAUACCCGCUGAACUUAA
rnacentral:misc_RNA from 1 species